CCCGGCACAAGCGGUGGAGCAUGUGGUUUAAUUCGACGCAACGCGAAGAACCUUACCAGGGCUUGACAUCCUCUGACCGCAUAUGAAAGUAUGUUUCUGGCUUCGGUCAGACAGAGAGACAGGUGGUGCAUGGUUGUCGUCAGCUCGUGUCGUGAGAUGUUGGGUUAAGUCCCGCAACGAGCGCAACCCCUACGUUUAGUUGCUAACGUGUAACGAUGAGCACUCUAGGCGGACUGCCGUUGACAAAACGGAGGAAGGUGGGAUGACGUCAAAUCAUCAUGCCCCUUAUGUUCUGGGCUACACACGUGCUACAAUGGCCGGUACAAAGGGACGCAAAGCCGCGAGGUGGAGCAAAUCCGAUAAAAGCCGGUCUCAGUUCGGAUUGCAGGCUGCAAUUCGCCUGCAUGAAGUCGGAAUCGCUAGUAAUCGCAGGUCAGCAUACUGCGGUGAAUACGUUCCCGGGCCUU
rnacentral:rRNA from 1 species